rnacentral:rRNA from 1 species
CCAAUAGCGUAUAUUAAAGUUGUUGCAGUUAAAAAGCUCGUAGUUGAAUUUUGGAUUCUUCCAAUUGGUCCAUCUUUUAGAUGAGUACUGGUUGUGUGGGGUCUAUCCGCCUGGUGAUACGUAAUGUCCUUUAUUGGGUGUUACGGGUAGUCAGGACCUUUACCUUGAAAAAAUUAGAGUGUUUAAAGCAGGCUUAUGCCGGAAUACAUUAGCAUGGAAUAAUAGAAUAGGACGAAGUUGUUUUAUUUUGUUGGUUUCUAGGACAACCGUAAUGAUUAAUAGGGAUAGUUGGGGGCAUUAGUAUUCAAUUGUCAGAGGUGAAAUUCUUGGAUUUAUUGAAGACUAACUACUGCGAAAGCAUUUGCCAAGGAUGUUUUCAUUAAUCAAGAACGAAAGUUAGGGGAUCGAAGACGAUCAGAUACCGCCGUAGUCUUAACCAUAAACUAUGCCGACUAGGGAUCGGGCGAUGUUGUUUCCAUGACUCGCUCGGCACCUUAUG